CGGAGUAAGAGAGAGUUCGUGGAGGCUCCACUUCCUCCAAACCAGAAGGACCUAAAGGGACUUUGAGAUGAGCUCCAAAGAAAGAGAAUCUUCAGAUGCAGGAAACCCUGAAUCAGAGCAGUAAAGGCAGCUAAAAGCUGAAAUACCUCUGGAACUGGUCGAAUGAGACACCUAAAAAUUGUACGCCACAGACCUAGGCAUGGAUUCCAUACAGGAACAACACCUAAACCCAAGAGGGCAGCUGUUGCAGCAUCCAGUUCAUCUCAAGGAUUUCAAUGAAGGCACCUCUGAGUCAGAGCAGUAAACGUGAGAAGUGACUGCACUGCUGCCGAGAGGACACUUUGGACCCCAGUAUCAGCUCUAACGGCAAGAAUCUCAGCAUCUGAAUUGCAUAUUUAAUCCGGUGGCUCACUCAAUCCACAAGGGAGAAUGUGGUCAUCAGGAAGCUCUGAGAAGAACGGCAAUGGACCAAUUCACUCGCCGAGAGUCAUUCUUCCAACACUGGUUGAACUCUCUUCUGUGCCAGGCCCAAGAAAGGGAUAAAAGGACAAGGCCCAGGCUCUGUCUGCAAGGAAAGCAAGCUGAAUGGACUUUCUUGUACAUCCCUGAAAAAUCAUGUGAAAUAUACCAAAUCCUCGGGAGGAGUCCUUGGGGCCCCUGGGCUUUUUGAGGAGAUGCAGGCAUAAUGCUGUCAGAGUGGCACAGAUACUUGGCUAGCAAGUCAUCACAAUCCAAGAAGGAAAAUUCGACCUCGAGUUUGUACACAAUUAACCCAUUCUCUGACCUGUGGCACUUAGAUGCCACCCAAAUCCAGACUUUGGCAAAAAUUAGAUAACAUCAAAGCACAGAAACAUUUCUGAAUUCAUUUUCAGAGCAAAUUUAAACUUGCUAAAAAUCAUUCUUUUCUAAUUGCUUUUAUUACAGUUCUAAUUUUAUGAUUCUUAUUUUACUCAUGCAAUAAAAUAAAUAAUUUUUGUGUAUGCAAAGUGGCAAAAGCCAGGCCUCUCCAAAUAAUUCAUAUUUGCACAGGUAGAUUAGAACAUGGUGACUCAGAGAUGCUUGCUGGACUAAAAAAAUACACAUAGAAAAUCUUUGACCUGAGCAUUUAAUGGUUCUUUACCCAGAAAUUCAGAAUGUGUGCAAUGAGAAGGGCAAAGGACCUCUGUAUAUUAGCCAAGUAGUACUCAACCCACCAGGGACAAUGAUGAUGAGGAUAGUUGCCAUUUAUUGAGUGCUUACUACGGGCGAGGCACUGUGCUGAGCACUGUAUGUACACAUCUUUCAUUCAUUUGUUCAAUUAAUUCAUAUCUAUUAAGCAUCUAUUAAACACCAUGCACUAAGCUAGGUGCUGGAGGUACAAUAGUAAAUAAGAUAGGUAAGAUAGUAACAGACUUAAUGGAAUGUUAAGUCUUUCAACAACUUGUAAGGUAGAUAUUAGUGAUUCUGUUUUACCACUAAGGAAACAAAAUCAGAAAAGAGUGAUUAAGUAACUUGCUCUAAAUCAUAUAGUUAAUACAUGGUAAGCAGGACUUGAAACCAAGUCCCAAAUAAAGCCAGACAUCAGAGGAAAGCAGGAAUUACAAGAAUGUAUUGUACUUUUAAGUGCCCUUCUGAAUUUUUAUCUCAUUGAUAAAAACCUCUAGGAAGGAAUUUAUAGUUCCUAAUCUUUUUCCUUCCCAGUGGAACUAACUCCUAAGCUUUUGACACACCGUACAGGUACACCCCUUCAGGAAGUGGUUCAUGACUCAGGCCAGAAACCCCCUUUCCUCUACAACUCCUCAAUAGCCUGUGCACAUUUCUAUUCUUGCACUUACCACUAUGACUAUACUUUCGAAAAAUAUGCCUUCCUCCCACUAGACCAGGAGCUCCUUUAGGACAGUUGCUAGGUGUAAUUUAUCUCUCUACCCUAGCGUAGUGAUUCAUCUGAGAUGCAAUAAAUGUUUCCUGAAUGAGUAAAUGAAAAACUUUCAUUGGUAACAUACUCUACUUCAUUAUUUCAGUGAUAAUAAUAAAAGUAGCCAGCACUUACUAUGAUGAGUAUGCACUGUGGACAAACAUUAUCUCCCCCCAACUUCAUCAUGACUCUGUGAAGUCACAACUGUGUAGUUACCCCCAUUUUAUUGAUGAGAAAAAUAAAGACUUUCCCAAGGUCACACAGACUUUAAGUUAAGAUGCAUGAUUCAAACCCAGCUUUGAUGGACACUAAAUUCUUCACAGGACACAAGGGCACCUCCCAGGACUCAUAAAACCAUUCCUUCCAAC
rnacentral:lncRNA from 1 species